AGAUCUCUGUCUCAUUUGAUCACGCAAACACAUUGACGCUUCUACAGGCAAAUAAAGAUUCAAAGACUAAAAUGUAUGAAACGAAAAAAAAAUUCAGAUCCAAGCGAACAAAUCAACCAAACAAAACAACAGUCACUGAAGAGAAAAAAACAAAAAUCAAACACAACAUAUCAGAAUAGACCGAAUCUGAAGCGAUUAUCGACUCAGAGACACAUAUUCCUCGUUCUAUCAUGUAUAAUACAUCGAUCAAAGCGAGAUUUAGAAAAUGUAAAAUUCUACGGAUAAAAGAAACUGAGAAAGAUAAUUGAACCAUCACCGUCUUUGUCGAAGAGGCUAAAGGCUUCCUUGAACUCGGCGAUCUGCUCGGCUGUCAGUUGAUUAUAAGAGAUGAGCGUGAGAGAGAUGAAGAGAUCGCGAUUUCCAGAGACAUACUAACCCAUUUAUACCUGAUAUCGCCGAUGGAAACAACAAACUGAAGAACUCGUAGUGUGCAUCUGAUUAAUGAGAUUAAAGACGUAGAAAUCAUAACGUGAUCUGUUACAGAAACAUGGAGGACACUCGAUCGUCACAUCUCCCUGAAUGAAGAGUAAUGAAGAACACACAUUUUUCAUCCCCACAGAUUAGGGUUAGCGCAAAGCAAGGUGGUCGCUGGCCGAAAAUGAAAACUUAAGCCCAAUCUUUAGACAAACCAAACGGUAUGCAAAUAAAUGAAACAUAUCGUUUAAUGAAGUGGACAGGUGGACACGUUGGGAGAGAAAGGAAAUACAACUUUAUAUAUAUAGAUUUUUAUUUUUAUUUUCUUUUGCAAUUAAUUUUUCUCUUUCUAAAAAAUCACAGGUAUUAAAAGCAUAGCAUUAUGACCCAUUGUAAAAGAACAUCAAAUGUUUAGCGCGGAACUUUAAGAGGGUUUUUAAAAAUAAAAAGUGAUUUAAUUAAAUGAAAACUAAAACAAUAGGCUGUUACAGAUCUUUAGAGAAGGAUUUUGGUAACCGUUUUAAAGGGGUUUUUCGAACACGUGUAAGCACAUGAAAUUUUCUUAUUUUUUCCUUUUUUCCUUUUCUCUCUUUUCUUUUCUCUUUGUUCUUUCUUUCUCAACUUCUCCGUCAAUAGCCGAACGAAACCGUCAUUCGUCUUCGUAAGAAGUCUUCGAAUCAGAGAGAAGAUGACAGUGAUCGACAUUCUAACCAGAGUUGACACGAUAUGUAAGAAGUACGACGUCGACAAACAGUGUGAGUCCAACAUCUCCGGCGACGAUGCUUUCGCUCGUCUCUACGGAGCUUUCGAGACUCAGAUUGAGACCGCUCUCGAGAAAGCUGAGAUUGUAACCAAGGAGAAGAACAGAGCUUCUGCUGUUGCGAUGAACGCAGAGAUCCGCAGGAUCAAGGCUAGAUUGGACGAGGAAGUUCCCAAGUUGCAGAGACUUGCUCUCAAGCGGUAAUUACAUUGAGAUGAUAGUGCAUUGACAAGGAAACAAGGAGAAACUGACUUGGUUGAGCUCUGUUCCGAGGGUUCUUAAUCAAAUAGUCAAUAUGGCCAGUCAAUUCAGAUCGUAAGUGGAAAGGUAGUGGACUUGGGAGUGGAAGUGUUGUUUGAUCACGGACUGAAAUUUUGCAUGUUUGAUUGACAGAGGUGAAAUUUCAGUUCACCAACCAGUUUUCUGUCAAACAUUAUCAAAUAGUAAAAUGAAAUCAAUAACUUUUGACUUUAAUAAAAAGAAGGCUCUCAUUCAUUUGGAA